rnacentral:misc_RNA from 1 species
GAUGAAGAACGUAGCGAAAUGCGAUAAGUAGUGUGAAUUGCAGAAUUCAGUGAAUCAUCGAAUCUUUGAACGCACAUUGCGCCCCUUGGUAUUCCAUGGGGCAUGCCUGUUCGAGCGUCAUUUGUACCUUCAAGCUCUGCUUGGUGUUGGGUGUUUGUCUCGCCUCUGCGUGUAGACUCGCCUCAAAACAAUUGGCAGCCGGCGUAUUGAUUUCGGAGCGCAGUACAUCUCGCGCUUUGCACUCAUAACGACGACGUCCAAAAGUACAUUUUUACACUCUUGACCUCGGAUCAGGUAGGGAUACCCGCUGAACUUAAGCAUAUCAAUAAGUGGAGGA